rnacentral:rRNA from 1 species
GACGAACGCUGGCGGCGUGCCUAAUACAUGCAAGUCGAACGCAGUGGGGACGGGUGAGUAACACGUGGGUAACCUCCCCAUCAGAGGGGAUAACACUUGGAAACAGGUGCUAAACCGAUACUGAUGGAUGGACCCGCGGUGCAUUAGCUAGUGGGGGAGGUAACGGCUCACCAAGGCCACGAUGCAUAGCGGACCUGGGAGGGUGAUCGGCCACACGGGAACUGAGACACGGCCCAGAUUCCUACGGAAGGCAGCAGUGGGGAAGUUUCGGCAAUGGACGAAAGCUGGACGGAGCAAGGCCGCGGGAGUGAGGAAGGUUUUCGGAUCGUAAAACUCUUUUAUUAGGGAAGCGGUACCUAAUCAGAAAGCCACGGCUAACUACGUGCCAGCAGCCGCGGUAAUUC